GUUUAGGUGGCGCAGCUUCUCUCGGCUUCCCAGUUUCCUUAAGAGCAUUACAGCUGUGGUUAACUGUCAACAACCCUUGGACUCAGUUUCAUGUCUGCAGAGAAGCACCAUCGCCCAUGACCCUACCCAUCCUCCACACACAAAGCCACAAAGGAAAGCAGCCAGAGUUCUGAACAGCCAACAGGCCUACCAGUCCUUGUACUCUAUGCAGCUACUUCCCCUGCUGGAAAUGAGCAGCUGCCUUCUUCUCCCUAAGGUUUGUCCUCUUUUAUCUGAUUCUUGGAAAUGUUUUUAAGUUUUGCCAGGUUCUUUGUUCUUUCAUGAAUGAACUGAUGGAAAUUUUCUAUGGAAGUUACUUACCUCACUUAAGAAGCACACAGCAGCUCUCGCCUAUAAUCCUAGCAUUUUGGGAGGCCAAGGCGGGGGGAUUGUCUGAGCUCAGGAGAUCAAGACCAGCCCGAGCAACACAGUGAAACCCCAUCUCCACUAAAAUACAAAAAGCCAGGUGUGGCAUGCGCCUAUAAUCCCAGCUACUCAGGAGGCUGAGGCAGGAGAAUUGCUAGAACCCGGGAGGUGGAGGUUGCAGUGAGCUGAGAUCGUGCCACUGCAGUCUAGCCUGGGCCACAGAGCGAGACUCUGUCUCAAAAAAAAAAAAAAAAAAAAAGGACUGAUGUGAGGCAUGACAGUAGAAAUCAGGAUAGGCUGGAGGCAGUGGCUCAAGCCUGUAAUCCCAGCACUUUGGGAGGCCGAGGCGGGCAGAUCACAAGGUCAGGAGAUCGAGACCAUCCUGGCUAACACGGUGAAACUCCAUUCUCUACUAAAAAUACAAAAAAUUAGCCAGGCGUGACGGCAGGUGCCUGUAGUCCCAGUUACUCGGGAGGCUGAGCCAGGAGAAUGGCAUGAACCUGGGAGGCGGAGCUUGCAGUGAGCCGAGAUCUCACCACUGCACUCCAGCCUGGGCGACAGAGCAUCUCAAAAAAAAAAAAAAAGAAAGAAAUCAAGAUAAAUAAAGGUUUCACUUUGCAUUUGAAAAGCUAAGAACAGCCUUUAUUGGAGAAAGUAGGAUAAAGACAUUUCCAUAUAUGUUCAUGGGAAUUUACCAUUCAAAUUUACCAUUCAAACUGGGGGAGUAGAGAUCAGUCACUUUUGCCAUCUUAUCUGUUUAAAACUCUUUCAAGAAAAGAAAAGAAAGGAGGAGUCUCUUUCAAGAAAAGAAAAAAAGGAAUACUGUGUAAGAACCACAGAAAAAAAGCUAAGUAGGAGCAGAUGUGGGUGCUCUUUCCUUAACAGUCAGCAUAGAAUGUAGAGACUGACAUUUUCUUUAAGAACAGAUUAUUAUAACUAAGCAAGAAAAAGUAUGUGUACAUAAGUUGGUCACAGUGACACUUGUAGAAAAUAUAAGUAGCUGUAAAUGGGAAAAUGUCAAAAAUGUUCCAUCCAAGGAAUGUUAGAAGGUCCCUUCUUUGCCUUGCUCAUCUGAAAAGUUCCAAUUCACCCUACAAGCCUUAGCCCCAAGGCUGGGAAGCCACUGCCUCUACUACCAAGAAGCAUCCAGUGUCUCUUUUGUGCAGCCUGGCACCCCUCCUGUGGCUUCAUGAUAACAUCUAUCACUCUUUAGGGAUCAUUUACACUUCUGCUGCCUCUUCUCCCUAAGACAGAGAAAAUUGUCACUUGUUCUUUUUUGUAUUCUUGGCGUCCAGCAAAGGGAACAGACAUCUAUCCAUUUAAUUAAGCUCUGCUAAGAUGCUUUGAGUUAAAUUGUGUAUGUUUGUGUGCUGGAAAAAUAUGUAAAAAUCAGUGAGACACUUCUACAAAGGCAGAGUAGACAUCCUUCUGCUAAAUGCAUAUAAAAAUCCUGGAUAUUAUAUUAAAACACAGCAAGACUCUGAAUAGUAGACAGAAAAUAGGCUAGGAACAUUGGGGCCCAAGUAACAACACUGUGAUGAGUUCCCUACAUUUUCUUUUCAGCUCAUAUAUUUCCAACUUGGAGCUGAAAAAGUCAGCAACCUGGAAAUGUCAAUAAAUGCAGGGGGAAAAAAAGCCCUAAGAGAGUCCUGCUCUCUCCUGCCAAAGGACCAGAAAAGGGUAGCCAAGCAAGGGUAAAAAAGGCUGUACUCCAACCAAACACCAUGGAAAAAAACCAUGGCCCCACCCAUACCAGCAAAUGCUGAGUGGGGAGUCCAGACUUACACUCUCACCAAGCUGUAAAGAGGUGCCCCAACUCCCUGACUUUUGUAUUCUUGGCAUCCAGCAAAGGGAACAGGCAUCUAUCCAUUUAAUUAAGCUCUGCUAAGAUGCUUUGAGUUAAAUUGUGUAUGUUUGUGUGCUGGAAGAAUACAACUCCAGAGUGGUGUCAUAGAAGGCUGCGUAGGCUACUGGGAAUUUCAUUCCCACCUGGUGUAAUGAAGCUCUUCCUGGUCACUCUGUCCCAUAGCAUUAGUGGAGAUUCCCAGGGUGCAGCAAAAGGUGCCGCUGCACAUUCCAGCCAGGGAGGAAUCAAUAAAGACCUAAUGGGAAACUGAAUUCUCACCUUGCCCAGUAGUAAUGAGGGGACCCUGUUACUCAGUAUAAAGGGAGGCUGACUGGGGAACCUGGACUCCUAGCCACACCUGGUAAUAAUGAGGCAGUGCUCCCAAUUCCCCUGCUGUGGUGGUAUCUGAGAAAGUUGGCUAAAGCAGAAGGUUUAAAUAAGAACCAUAGUCUCAUAACAUAAUACCUAAAAAUAUCCAGGUUUCAAUAAAAAAUCAUUCCACACACCAAGAAACAGGAAAAUGUUUCCGAAUGGAAAAAAGACCAUCAGUAGAUGCAAACAAUGAGGUGACAGAUGUUGGAAUUAUCUGAUAAGGAUUUUACAGCAGCCAUCAUAAAAAUUCUUCAACAAGCAAGUAUAAAUGCACUUGAAACAAAUGAAAACGUAGAAAGUCUCAGCAAAGAGACAGAAAUUCUCAGCAAAUAGAAGAUAUAAAGAAAAACUGAAUGGAAAUU
rnacentral:lncRNA from 1 species